rnacentral:rRNA from 1 species
UCCCGGCGCCCCGAGUGGCCAUCGCGAUUAUUGGGCCUAAAGCGUCCGUAGCCGGACAGUUAAAUUCUCUGUGAAAUCGCUGCGCUCAACGUAGCGGCAUGCAGGGAAGACUGGCUGUCUCGGGACCGGGAGGGGUCAGAGGUAUGCCGUGGGGACUGGUAAAAUGGUAUAAUCCACGGUGGACCACCAAUGGCGAAGGCAUCUGACCGGAACGGAUCUGACGGUGAGGGACGAAAGCUGGGGGA